CCCUUAAAUCCACAACACACCUGUGAACCCACCGUAGGCCUUCGGGCUUAUGUAUCAUAUACUCUGAAUGUGUCAUAGAAUGUUCAUAUUGCCUUAAAACGCAAUCAAAUACAACUUUCAACAACGGAUCUCUUGGCUCUCGCAUCGAUGAAGAACGCAGCGAAAUGCGAUAAGUAAUGUGAAUUGCAGAUUUUCAGUGAAUCAUCGAAUCUUUGAACGCACCUUGCGCUCCUUGGUAUUCCGAGGAGCAUGCCUGUUUGAGUGUCAUUAAAUCCUCAACCCCACCGAUUUGUUUCGGGGGGAUUGGACUUGGAGCGUGCUGGCGAAGGUCGGCUCCUCUUUAAAUGCAUCAGUGGAGAGAAACUUGCCCCAGUGUGAUAAUCCUGUUGCGCUGUGGUAGGUGGAAAGUCCGCUUCUAACCGUCCUUCACGGGGACAAACAUCUCAAUUUGACCUCAAAUCAGGUAGGACUACCCGCUGAACUUAAGCAUAUCAAUAAGCGGAGGAAAAGAAACUAACAAGGAUUCCCCUAGUAACUGCGAGUGAAGCGGGAAAAGCUCAAAUUUAAAAUCUGGCGGUCGCUCUGGCCGUCCGAGUUGUAAUCUGGAGAAGUGUUUUCCGCGUCGGACCGUGUACAAGUCUUCUGGAACGGAGCGUCAUAGAGGGUGAGAAUCCCGUCUCUGACACGGACUGCCGAUGCUUUAUGUGA
rnacentral:rRNA from 1 species